GCAGCUGUGGUCUAGUGGUUAAGGCGUUGGUUUUGAAAUUCAUUGGAGUCUCCCCACGUAGGUUCGAACCCUACCGGCUGCG